AGGACGAACGCUGGCGGCGUGCUUAACACAUGCAAGUCGAGCGGUAAGGCCUCCUUCGGGGGGUACACGAGCGGCGAACGGGUGAGUAACACGUGGGUGACCUGCCCUCAGCUCUGGGAUAAGCCUGGGAAACCGGGUCUAAUACCGGAUAGGACUGCUUGCCGCAUGGUGUGUGGUGGAAAGUUUUUUCGGCUGGGGAUGGGCCCGCGGCCUAUCAGCUUGUUGGUGGGGUGAUGGCCUACCAAGGCGGUGACGGGUA
rnacentral:rRNA from 1 species